AAGGGGGCAUACACAGAUAGGGGUGGGAAUCAUUUUUGGACACAGAAGAUAUAGAAAUAGAGAGAGAGAGAGGGACAGUGACAAGAAAAAUUUAAAAAAAAUCCUCACCAUCCAAAUACCCAUGAUCAUAACCUUCCUCAAAUCAACACCACCACCGCGUCAUCUCCACCUUCACCGGAAACAACCAACACCGCCAAACCAUCGGAAAACCCCAACACCAUAAACCCACCUUGCUAACAACCUAUCUCCACUAUCUCGCCGCCAGCCCCACCGGAAAAACGAAACGAACCGGUCACCAAGCAGGCCUUUAAACCGCCGAACACCACCUGUAACCCACCAUUUCUUCACCAUCAAAACAACUUAAAAAACCCAACUGAAACAUCUUCAAAACAGUGCCCAAUCAAACACCCAUUAGCCAUAAACCCAAUAGCAUAACUGAUCUAAACAGAGGAGUCGGGGUUUCGGUUUGAGGUUCCGUUCGAGUUCGGUUCAAAGCUUCAGUUCGGGUCCCGUCGAAUAAUUUUGUGGAAUUAAAGCUAAUUGAGUCUAUUUGCAGCUGAUAGAAUCGGAACACGAGAAGCAGACAAACUUAUCCAAACGGCAUGUCACCACCGCACAAGCCAGACAACCACCUUGCAUUGUAGCUAUCUGAAAUUUUCUCUGUUCGUUGGUUCAUCCAUCUAUUUUAUAAUCCCACUGCUGGAGAAGGUUGGGUUGCGGAGAUGUUGGAAGUGGCUACUUGGCUGAACUGAGUCGAACCAAAUGUUACUUUGCCAUGGAAGUCACAGAUAAAGUAUCUUUAGCCAGCUGCCACGAAGCUUCUUCGUGCUCAGACCAAAAGACAAAUUUUACAAUUCCUUGAUCAUCGUUUUCUUCCAUCACUCUACAGACACUUCGACAGUGAUGAGUUCUCAUGUUUGGUCAUGGAUUCUACCCUGGAGGGAAUCUCCACACUGUUACGCAGAGACAGCAAAGGAAACAUUUUUCUGAACAAGCGGUGAAGUAUAACCUCCUUUCAAUCUUUGGAACAAACAAAUUAUAGUAGUAAUUUCAGACUUCUUUUUUAAACUAAUAGUCCCGUCACUUUCUUCCAUCCACUCUUCUCUGUUAAUAUGUUUGAUCGAAACAUUUUAGCUACAUAUUAAUUGUAAAAUUUAUAGUUAUGGAUGAUCAUGUUUUAAAAUAUUCUGCUCAAAAUCAUCGCAUUAGUUCUUUUUUUAA